rnacentral:rRNA from 1 species
UACGUAGGGGGCAAGCGUUGUCCGGAAUCAUUGGGCGUAAAGCGCGUGUAGGCGGCCUUGUAAGUCCGUUCUGAAAGCCCGGGGCUCAACCCCGGGAGGCGGAUGGAUACUGCAGGGCUCGAGUACGGAAGAGGCGAGUGGAAUUCCCGGUGUAGCGGUGAAAUGCGCAGAUAUCGGGAGGAACACCAAUGGCGGAGGCAGCUCGCUGGGACGUUACUGACGCUGAGACGCGAAAGCGUGGGGAGCGAACAGG